UCCGGGAUGAGUGGGGACACUGUUGGGACCGCCUCUGGACUAAAGGAGGAGGAAGGAAUGGGCAACGGUAGGUCAGCAUGCCCCGAAUUAUCCGGGCUACACGCGGGCUACAAUGGUCAGGACAAUGGGUAUCGACACCGAGAGGUGGAGGCAAUCUCCUAAACCUGUCCUUAGUUCGGAUUGUGGGCUGCAACUCGCCCACAUGAAGCUGGAAUCCGUAGUAAUCGCGUUUCAAAAUAGCGCGGUGAAUAUGUCCCUGCUCCUU
rnacentral:rRNA from 1 species